CUUCCUCUGCCACCUCCCCAAACUUCGACAGGAGGACAAUGAAGGCAACAGUGACUGCUUACCUGUGCCGGGCACUGUCCUCCGUCUCCUUAAACCCUCCCAACAGCCUGAAAGGACCCUGGCUCGUGUCUCCUGGCUGGGAAAGACGGACAGCUCACGCCCACUGAGACCAAGUGUCCCGGGCACCCCACUCUGUGCUUUUCUUCCCCCUCAGAAUGUGCUCACUGGGACAUUAACCGAACCCACAGCUGUUGAGUUGAUGCGUAGCGACCCUGCAGAUGGGUAAGCACAGCUGCCCGACCCCGCUGGGACACAGGAGUGAACGAGGGACUUCCGGCAAAGCAGUAUCUGUUGAGAGCCUACCGCAUACCAGGCCUUGCUGGGGACACACGGAGUCCUUCCCCAAGAAAAAGAAGAGCCAAGACAAAGACGAUCAUGAGGGUUUUCCCCCGGAGAUUUGACAAUCAGAAGUCACAGUCACCUGCCUCCAGCCCCCCAGUGAGCAGGAAGCCUGGUCGUUGACAGCCCAGGCUCUGCGGCCACCACGGAUGACCUGUGUGCCCUGGGGCAAGUUUCUAACCGGCUCCAUGCCUCAAUUUAUCUAACUGAGUAAUGGGGCCAAUAGACAAAGCUGCUGCUUCCCACCUAUAUUCUGCGGUGACACAUGGUACGUGUUUAGAGUUGUGUUGGCACA